CGACUUCGCUGCUGCUGUUGGCCAGAUCGGCCAGCUCGCCACCGCCCCUGCCCAGAGCCCCCACUGCCCUGCCGGCAGGCAGUCAUCCUGACAGCACGGUGGCGCUCCAAGGAAGGCAAGAGAAGGACCUGGUCCUCCAAAGCCACCUCCUAAACUCUAGCCCCUCUGCCGAGACCGGAGAGGGACAGCAAGCCAGGAAAAGAGCUUGUGAAGCCAUCAAGCAGAAACCAGUGGAGAAGUUGGCUGUUCCGUCUGCCGUGCUCCUUUGCUAUGGAAGCCACCCAGGGCAGGACUAAGUGCCCGCACAUCCAGAAGAACGUGUCCAGCUCCCAGCUGUCGUGCCCCUCCAUCUAGUAUAGCUGCCACCCAGCAAUUAGCACGCCCGGGUUCUCCUUUGGAAAAGGAUCGGGGAACAAUGCCACGGCGAGUCCUCCUGGACCAGAAAGCAGGUGAGUCCAGCAUGGAAAACACAGGUAAAUGAUCCCUUUGGCCAUUGUUUCAUUGCUGUCAGACAAACCACUAGCAAGCUGAGCCUGGUCUUACACACACCUCCUGGGCCUUGAAAGGGAUGCAAAAAAGGAGGAGAAACAGAGGAGAAACAAAAAUCCACGGCAGCGUGCCGAGAUUGAAGUCCCCUGGCAUAUUCUAUUAUCUUCUCCUGUAUACUUAAAUUGACUCCCAAGCUCCCUGCUCCUUAGGUGGUAUGUGUAUAGAUCUCACUUCUUGGCCGUCGGUGAGGACUGCUAGGUAAAAUACGGGACACCCAGUUAAAUGUGAAUAUUGCUUAAACGGUGAAUAAUUCUUUCCUGUAUGUCCCCUCCAAUACUUGGGAUGUAGUCAAUCAAUCCUUACUCAUUUUUUCCUCUAAAAUUCAAAGAUAACAAUGCAUCCUUUUUUUGUUUUGUCUUGCUGCAUCUGGCAAACCUAUCCUCACUGCCUCACAGAAGUGUCGAGAUAAACUUGAAAGUAAGUGAUGAGCCAAAAAUAUGUUGCUCCAAUAAGGUUAGGACUGACUGGAUGUACAGUGAAACCACUUAAUUGUUCCUAAAAGAAAGAAUGAACUAGAGUUCAUUUACUCAUCGGAUGAGGGAUAUGAAUAGUGAUGGAAAGCUUGGAGUUAAAAGGUGUGUAUUUCAAUAGGUGAAGGGUUCUGAAUCUGAAAGAACCCAUCACCACCUUAUCCUGUCCUUAAUAAUCAGGUCCUGGGUAGCCCAGGGACAGCACAGCAUGGAGUCAUUAUUCUAUCUCUUCUUGUCAGUUUCCAUUGGCAUCUCUGAAAAGGGUGCCCCUGGAGGCACACCAAUCUGAAAAGCAUAAAACAAUUGAAUCAGCAUGUUGUCAUGGGCUCAUCUGAUUGAUCUGGGAGCUAGAAGGCUAGGAGGCUGUUGGUGAACACUUGAGUAAAUCCAAGGAAAAGAUAGGGAUUGUGUAGGAUUAAUCACAAGUGGCUAUAUAUUUAUAGUUUAGGCAUCAAACAAGAUAAUCUCUGCAGAGUAAGGCACUGCAGCGAAAAGAUUAAUCAUGGACUUAUCAUAAAAUCAGUUAUCUCUAGGUCUGCCCUGUGUGUGGUCUACUAACUAUAGGAAUCGGGAACAUGGAAAGAUAACAUUUGGGCUUGCUCACACAUUGAUGGCAAGUCAUAAAGUGAAAUCAGUAUCCUGGAGUCAAAUGUGUGUGUGUGUGUGUGUGUGUGUGUGAGUAUGAGUUUUUGAAGCAAAAUGUAUUACAAGCUAAUAUAUUCUGGAAAAAAAUCUUAAAUUUCAUUUUUCUCAUUUUAAGAUAAAACUCCAGAUUCUUCUAUAAGCAAGGAAAAAGGAUAGACUGCCACAUAAAGUGCAACCAAAGUCAGAAAAUUUCUGAAGAGUCUUUUUUUCUGGAUGGUCUUCUGAUGUCUUCCAAUUAUCAUAGAAAUAAUCAAGAUUUAGUAAAUGAUUAUCAAGUAAUAAGCAAUUAUUAAUUGUGUCAUGCAUGAGUUCAAGGAAACUUAUUGGGAGCCUCAAGCCAUAAAAUAUACUACACUGACCUACAGGUAAGUAGGCAGCACCUACACAGGCAGCCCUCAGUGAUAUUGCGGGUUUAGUUCCAGACCACCGCAAUAAAUCAAAUGUUGCAAUAAAUCA
rnacentral:lncRNA from 1 species